CCCUAGGGAGGAGCCUAAAGAAGCCAGAGGGGCGGCCAUGUUCCUGAAAUCGUUCCAGCCUGGCGCCACUUACCAAGGGGACACGGGUUCGAUCCCUGGUCCGGGAAGAUUCCCCAUGCCGCGGAGCAACUAAGCCCGAGCGCCACAACUGCUGAAGCCCACGCGCCUAGAGCCCGUGCCUCACAACAAGAGAAGCCACCGCAAUGAGAAGCCCACGCACCACAACAAAGAGUAGCCCCCGCUCGCCGCAACUAGAGAAAGCCGGCGUGCAGCAACGAAGACCCAACCCAGCCAAAAAUACGUUGGAACAAAAGCAAUGGCGAUAAGAGACCAUAACAGAUCUGUCUCUAGCAAGAGAGUGGAUUCUCGUUAUCUUCUGCAGUAAGCAAGAAAGUGAAUCAACCCGGCAAUAUUUUUAUCCCUUUCUUAAUGACUACCUCCUCAUGGAGAUGAGCAACACAGAAUAAAACUGAAAAAGGCUAAAACUGCCCAGGGUAAAUUAGAUCUAGGUUAAAAGAAAAAAAUAAAAAUCACAGCUUGGUAAUAGUGAAAGCUGCAAAAAUUAACCCUGGGAAGUUAGACUUAGUAGAAAACAAACAAACAAACUAUAACUAACUGGUACCCUGUGCAUUUCAUUAUAUGUACAUUUUAGCUUAAAAAAAAAAAGGACAGAAAAAAGAAAUUGUAGGGACUUCCCUGGUGGCGCAGUGGUUAAGAAUCCACCUGCCAAUGCAGGGGACAAGGGUUCGAGCCCUGGUCCGGGAAGAUCCCACAUGCCGCAGAGCAAGUAAGCCUGUGCACCCCAACUACUGAGCCUACACUCUAGAGCCCACAAGCCACACUGAGCCUGCGCGCCACAACUACUGAAGCCCACGUGCCUAGAGCCCGUGCUCUGAAACAAGAGAAGCCACCGCAAUGAGAAGCCCACGCACCG